rnacentral:lncRNA from 1 species
CCGGGACACGCGCACACGCGAGCAGGACGUGCACACGCGUGUGCAUGCACAACCAGGACGCGCACACGCACCGACACGCGUGUGCACACGCGACCGGGACACACGCACACGUGACCGGGACACGCACACGCACCGACACGCGUGUGCACAUGUGACCGGGACACACGCACACGCGUGUGCAAACAGCCCGGGGGACUCACACACGCGACCGGGACCCGCACACGCGUGUGGCCGCACACGCUAAGGGCAGGGACGCGCCCCCCCCCACGGCGCCGUGUCCCCGCCGACACGCGUGUGCGUCCCGUGUCCCCCUCCCCCUCCCCGCGCACGCGCCCCCCCUGCGACACGCG